UACGUAGGGUGCGAGCGUUAAUCGGAAUUACUGGGCGUAAAGCGUGCGCAGGCGGUUUUAUAAGACAGGUGUGAAAUCCCCGGGCUCAACCUGGGAAUGGCAUUUGUGACUGUAAGACUAGAGUACGGUAGAGGGGGAUGGAAUUCCGCGUGUAGCAGUGAAAUGCGUAGAUAUGUGGAGGAACAUCGAUGGCGAAGGCAGCCUCCUGGGAUAACACUGACGCUCAUGCACGAAAGCGUGGGGAGCAAACAGG
rnacentral:rRNA from 1 species